GUGGAUCAACAUGGAUGAAAAUAAAACUACUACAUUUUGCCCAAAUUCCACUGAAUUGUUGAACAGAGAAGAGAUGGAAAAGCAACAUGUGUAUACAGAAAUUGACCUAUCACCACCUUUGAAGAAACCAUCCUCCUCACCAAGACCUCCAGUCUUUAAGGGUUCUUCAGGUCAAGUUUCAAAUUGUCCACCUUUAGAGUAUUCCAAACUACAGGCACAUCCCCUCCUACAACCUGUUUAUCAUUCUGUAAUUGUGAAUACAAAAGCAAAGAAUUAACAUCACAUAAUACACAACAUUUUAUGAAAUUGAAAGUGUGAAUGUGGAAGUAAAGGAUUACUGUGCUGGCAUCUCAAAGCAGCAGGUAUCAGAGACUAUUGUGUUAUGCACUUUUAUGACUGACUCAGAAUAAACGAGGAGUCUACAUUUAUGAGUGUAUUGCUUGUAAAAUUAGUCUGAAAUUAAGCUAUGCUGUUUUUGUUUUGUUAAGAAACAUAAUUGAAUUUUUUUUAGCACAAAUAUGUUUUAUGUGAGUGCACACAAUUGUAAUUGUAACAAUGUGAAGUCUCAUUGUAAUGAAAAAUAUUCAGUCUCAAGCUUAUAUAAUAUAAACUGCUAAAUUUGCCAAUAAGGGCAUUUCCCCCUAAAAUAUGAUGUCAAUAUUUGAUUUCUGGCAUUUAAAUAAUACCUUUCUAUGCACCAGCCAACAUCUUGUUCUAAUUUUUUUAAAUUAAUUUAAAAAGUGAGGGUUAUCUCAAACCUGGAGUGCCUCUUUAAUAUAUUAUUACUUUCCAUGUAUGGACGCAUAAUCUAAUUCCCUCUCAUACGUUUUCUAGCCUUUUACUUUGACAUAAAUUAUUUCUACUCUUUAUGUAAUGACUCCCAAUAUCAUAAUUUUCAAUAAAUUCCAUAAUGCUCUAUAUUACUUCAAGUCACUGAAGUGGUCAUGGUGCCUGGUCUGUAUUCCGAAAUCUAUUUGACAGUUCUUUCUUUGCGGACAAUUGAAAUAAUUUCAUAUUUUAGCAUAAUUUAUUGUAUCAAACCAGGAGCAUAAUAAUGAAUUAACCCUAGCAAUUCCAUGCAUCCUAAGUAAUACAUAAUUAUAUGUUUUAACCUUUUAAAUGCAAGACGUGUGCCACUCAUUCAUUUGUUUAAAAUGUGCUUGUCAAAUUAUUAAACAAAUUAUAUAAA